GUGCUUGCUUCAGCAGCACAUAUAUAUAAAUUGGAAUGAUACAGAGAAAAUUAGCAUGGCCCCUGCACAAGGAUGGCACACAAAUUCGUGAAGUGUUCUAUAUUUUU